rnacentral:rRNA from 1 species
CCCUUCGAUGUUCUGGGCUGCACGCGCGCUACACUGAAGCUAUCAACACGUUUUCCCUCCCUGAGAAGGGCGGGUAACCUUUUGAAUCAGCUUCGUGGUAGGGAUCGGGGCUUGCAAUUGUUCCCCGUGAACCAGGAAUUCCUAGUAGACGCGAGUCAUAAGCUCGCAUCGAUUAAGUCCCUGCCCUUUGUACACACCGCCCGUCGCUACUACCGAUUGAACGUUUUAGUGAGGCAUUUGGACCGACGCAUCUCAGUUUAACCGCUGGUUUGUGUUGGAAAGACUUCCAAACUUGAGCGUUUAGAGGAAGUAAAAGUCGUAACA